rnacentral:rRNA from 1 species
UAUUAUGAGAGUUUGAUCCUGGCUCAGGACGAACGCUGGCGGCGUGCCUAAUACAUGCAAGUCGUACGCUUUUUCUUUCACCGGAGCUUGCUCCACCGAAAGAAAAGGAGUGGCGAACGGGUGAGUAACACGUGGGUAACCUGCCCAUCAGAAGGGGAUAACACUUGGAAACAGGUGCUAAUACCGUAUAACAAUCGAAACCGCAUGGUUUUGAUUUGAAAGGCGCUUUCGGGUGUCGCUGAUGGAUGGACCCGCGGUGCAUUAGCUAGUUGGUGAGGUAACGGCUCACCAAGGCCACGAUGCAUAGCCGACCUG